GAUGAACGCUCGCUACAGGCUUAACACAUGCAAGUCGAGGGGCAGCGGGAUUGAAGCUUGCUUCAAUUGCCGGCGACCGGCGCACGGGUGAGUAACGCGUAUCCAACCUUCCGUACACUCAGGGAUAGCCUUUCGAAAGAAAGAUUAAUACCUGAUGGUAUGAUGAGAUUGCAUGAUAUCAUCAUUAACGAUUUAUCGGUGUACGAUGGGGAUGCGUUCCAUUAGGUAGUAGGCGGGGUAACGGCCCACCUAGCCAACGAUGGAUAGGGGUUCUGAGAGGAAGGUCCCCCACAUUGGAACUGAGACACGCUCCAAACUCCUACGGGAGGCAGCAGUGAGGAAUAUUGGUCAAUGGACGAGAGUCUGAACCAGCCAAGUAGCGUGAAGGAUGAAGGUCCUACGGAUUGUAAACUUCUUUUAUAAGGGAAUAAACCCUCCCACGUGUGGGAGCUUGUAUGUACCUUAUGAAUAAGCAUCGGCUAACUCCGUG
rnacentral:rRNA from 1 species